GAGGGAGAGAGAGAGAGAAAGCCGGACGCUGGUGAAAGGCGGUGGAGACGGAUCUUGUUCAGGAAGCACUGUGGCCGCCCGGAGAAAGAGACUUCGUGUAGGACUGAGCUCUGCUCCUCCGUGCACCGGCGACUGGGCAGUUUAAAGGGAGAAUGAGGCAAGGGGAGGGGAAUGAGCAGGGGCCGGAGCAGAGUCAGGGAUGUGAAAAACUGCAGAACCAGGCAGGGGCGGUCAACACGAUUAGGCCUCGGGUUUGCCCACUGGGGCUUUUGGAAGUAGCUCCUACCCUCCCCAGAGGCUGGGAGACAGGGCCCUAUCUUCUGGUGUUGGCUGGAACAAACAGGAAAUUCUUCUGGCAACCUUGAGCUUUCCUAGGCAGGUACUUAAGGCGGGCUGGGCUGCCCCAGGGCUGCAGCCUGGAGCUGUUAGAAGCCAUGCUGGAAUCUGUCCUAGUCUCUCAUUGUGUGUGUGUUUGGAGGAGAAGGGUAAUGAGAGUCUGCAGUCCUUACAGACCAAGGUCAAGACCUAGUCUUGAGGAUCUCGGAGGAGCCUGAGUUUGGUCAAAGAGCUGCUCCGUCAAGGAGACGGAGGCAGACACGAGCCCCGCCUCCUAGUGCAGUCCUGGUAGGAAAGACGACAAGUCCACAGGCCUCCAGGAAAGUGCCGGCUGAGGAGGAGGGUGCGGGAGCAGGGGGCACCCAGAGGAGGACACCUAAGCAGGCAGAAGGCUGGGCCACCAGGGAGGCAGGGAAAGCUGACCCUGAAGGUGGUGGAGGCAGGCCGCAGGGAGGACAAGCGUCUGAGGCCGGGGAAGCAGGGUAUUGGAUGUGUGAGGGUUGGAAGCAGAAGGAAUGUGGAAUUGGGGGAGGAGGGCCAGGGCCACAGGGAAAGAUGGCGCUGAGCUGACAGCGGGAGGCAAGUGGAGUGGUACCAUGUUGGGGGCCCCACGCCCAGAGGCUCGGCUCAGGUGGCACUGGGCGUGGGAUCCGGAUACAACAUUGCUAAAAGCUCUCCAGACGAUUCUAAGACGCAGCCCUGCUCAAGACCUCAGUGCUUCAGCCUGAGGGUAACAUGGCAUCCCUGGAGGGCUGUGGGUGGCCGGGAAGGACAAGAUCAGAUCUCUUAUUUAAAGGAUCGCUGGGCAGGAGCUGGGAGAGCCUUGUGGAAGGUUCUAGUGAUAACCCAGGGUGAGAGAGAGGUGGCCUGGUCCAGGGCAGUGGGCGUGGGAGGGAGGAGGGAUUCCAGAAAUAUUUAGGGGAAGAACUGGCCACAUUUGGUGACCAAUGGGAAGUACCUGUGACGCCAGGUGAGGGGACAGCAGAUUUCUGUGUGGACAGCUGGCUGCAUGGUUGCUGAGAUGGGGAACAACAGUGGGGGGUGGGGGUCAAGAGUGAUUUGACGAUGAGAGCUGAGAGGUGCCAUCGGCGAUACAGAAGUGGAGCCACGGGGAGACUCUGACCUUGGAGGAAGAAGGAAUGCAAAUGUUUCCCUCAUCUUCCCCAUCCUCCUUGAGGGCAGCUGGAUUAAUUAUGGCAACUUUUCAUUCUGGUUUAGCACACCUACCGAAAAGUGCCCACGUCCUACGUGUGCAGCUCCGUGCACUUUCACGAACUGAACACACCCAUGGAGCCACCAGGAUGAGUUAAACCCAACAUCAACAGCCCCAGAAAUCUCUCCCGUGCCCCCUUCCAGGCACUGCCCGCCAUGGGCCGCCGUUAUUCUCAUUUCCCACAGUUUGGAUGAGUUUUUCCAGUGUCUUUUUAACUUUAAGUAAAUGGAGUCAUAAACCA
ensembl:lncRNA